rnacentral:rRNA from 1 species
UGGGCAACCUGCCCCUCUCUCUGGGAUAACCCCGGGAAACCGGAGCUAAUACCGGAUACUCCGGCUGGAUCGCAUGGUCCGGCCGGGAAAGGUCCGCCGGAGAGGGAUGGGCCCGCGGCCUAUCAGCUUGUUGGUGGGGUCAUGGCUCACCAAGGCGACGACGGGUAGCUGGUCUGAGAGGACGACCAGCCACACUGGAACUGAGACACGGUCCAGACUCCUACGGGAGCA